UGAGGAAUAUUGGUCAAUGGUCGGGAGACUGAACCAGCCAAGCCGCGUGAGGGAUGAAGGUACAGAGUAUCGUAAACCUCUUUUGUCAGGGAACAAAAGGCGCCACGCGUGGCGCUCCGAGUGUACCUGAAGAAAAAGCAUCGGCUAACUCCGUGCCAGCAGCCGCGGUAAUACGGAGGAUGCGAGCGUUAUCCGGAUUUAUUGGGUUUAAAGGGUGCGUAGGCGGCGAGUUAAGUCAGCGGUAAAAGCCCGGGGCUCAACCCCGGCCCGCCGUUGAAACUGGCUUGCUUGAGUUGGAGAGAAGUAGGCGGAAUGCGCGGUGUAGCGGUGAAAUGCUUAGAUAUCGCGCAGAACUCCGAUUGCGAAGGCAGCCUACCGGCUCCAGACUGACGCUGAGGCACGAAAGCAUGGGUAGCAAACAGGAUUAGAUACC
rnacentral:rRNA from 1 species